GUCGAGCGGGCGUAGCAAUACGUCAGCGGCAGACGGGUGAGUAACGCGUGGGAACGUACCUUUUGGUUCGGAACAACACAGGGAAACUUGUGCUAAUACCGGAUAAGCCCUUACGGGGAAAGAUUUAUCGCCGAAAGAUCGGCCCGCGUCUGAUUAGCUAGUUGGUGAGGUAACGGCUCACCAAGGCGACGAUCAGUAGCUGGUCUGAGAGGAUGAUCAGCCACAUUGGGACUGAGACACGGCCCAAACUCCUACGGGAGGCAGCAGUGGGGAAUAUUGGACAAUGGGCGCAAGCCUGAUCCAGCCAUGCCGCGUGAGUGAUGAAGGCCCUAGGGUUGUAAAGCUCUUUUGUGCGGGAAGAUAAUGACGGUACCGCAAGAAUAAGCCCCGGCUAACUUCGUGCCAGCAGCCGCGGUAAUACGAAGGGGGCUAGCGUUGCUCGGAAUCACUGGGCGUAAAGGGUGCGUAGGCGGGUCUUUAAGUCAGGGGUGAAAUCCUGGAGCUCAACUCCAGAACUGCCUUUGAUACUGAGGAUCUUGAGUUCGGGAGAGGUGAGUGGAACUGCGAGUGUAGAGGUGAAAUUCGUAGAUAUUCGCAAGAACACCAGUGGCGAAGGCGGCUCACUGGCCCGAUACUGACGCUGA
rnacentral:rRNA from 1 species